GUCCAUCAUUAUCUAUUUACUGUGAACUGUAUUAUUACUUGACGCUUGAGGGAUGUUCCAAUGCUAUAAGGAUAGGCACUGGAAAUGUUAACCGAGUCAUAAUCAAGCUUAGGCUUGGUAUCCUAUUAUUAUUUACCAAAAGAAUUCAGAAUUAAUAUUGUAACAUAGACGUAAAAAAUCUAUAAAACAACUUUUAACAACGGAUCUCUUGGUUCUCGCAUCGAUGAAGAACGUAGCAAAGUGCGAUAACUAGUGUGAAUUGCAUAUUCAGUGAAUCAUCGAGUCUUUGAACGCAACUUGCGCUCAUUGGUAUUCCAAUGAGCACGCCUGUUUCAGUAUCAAAACAAACCCUCUAUCCAACUUUUUUGUUGAAUAGGAUGACUGAGAGUCUCUUGAUCUAUUCUGAUCUUGAACCUCUUGAAAUGUACAAAGGCCUGAUCUUGUUUGAAUGCCUGAACUUUUUUUUAAUAUAAAGAGAAGCUCUUGCGAUAAAACUGUGCUGGGGCCUCCCAAAUAACACAUCUUUAAAUUUGAUCUGAAAUCAGGUGGGAUUACCCGCUGAACUUAAGCAUAUCAAUA
rnacentral:rRNA from 1 species